CCUACGGGUGGCAGCAGUGGGGAAUAUUGGGCAAUGGGCGCAAGCCUGACCCAGCAACGCCGCGUGAAGGAAGAAUGCUUUCGGGUUGUAAACUUUCUUUAAGAGGGAAGAGCAGAAGACGGUACCUCCUGAAUAAGCCAUGGCUAACUACGUGCCAGCAGCUACGGCAAUACGGAGGUGGCAAGUGUUGUCCGGAUUUACUGCGUGUAAAGGGCGUGUAGCCGGGCUGACAAGUCAGUUGUGAAAUCUCGUGGCUCAACCGCCGAACUGCAGUUGAAACUGGCGGUCUUGAGUAUCGGAGAGGCAGGCGGAAUUCCUAGUGUAGCGGUGAAAUGCGUAGAUAUUAGGAAGAACGCCGAUGGCGAAGGCGGCCUGCUGGACGACAACUGACGGUGAGGCGCGAAAGCGUGGGGAGCAAACAGGAUUAGAUACCCGGGUAGUC
rnacentral:rRNA from 1 species